rnacentral:misc_RNA from 1 species
UCUCCGUUGGUGAACCAGCGGAGGGUUCAUUACCAAGUUUACAACUCCCAAACCCAAUGUGAACGUUACCAAACUGUUGCCUCGGCGGGAUCUCUGCCCCGGGUGCGUCGCAGCCCCGGACCAAGGCGCCCGCCGGAGGACCAACCAAAACUCUUAUUGUAUACCCCCUCGCGGGUUUUUUUUUAUAAUCUGAGCCUUCUCGGCGCCUCUCGUAGGCGUUUCGAAAAUGAAUCAAAACUUUCAACAACGGAUCUCUUGGUUCUG